rnacentral:rRNA from 1 species
UACAGAGGUCUCAAGCGUUGUUCGGAUUCAUUGGGCGUAAAGGGUGCGUAGGCGGCGCGGUAAGUCGGCUGUGAAAUCUCGGAGCUUAACUCCGAAACUGCAUUCGAUACUGCCGUGCUUGAGGACUGGAGAGGAGACUGGAAUUUACGGUGUAGCGGUGAAAUGCGUAGAUAUCGUAAGGAAGACCAGUGGCGAAGGCGGGUCUCUGGACAGUUCCUGACGCUGAGGCACGAAGGUCAGGGGAGCAAACGGG